rnacentral:rRNA from 1 species
UACAGGGGGUGCAAGCGUUAUUCGGAAUUACUGGGCGUAAAGAGCGUGUAGGCGGUUUGUUAAGUCUGAUGUGAAAGCCCUGGGCUCAAUCCAGGAAGUGCAUUGGAUACUGGCAGACUAGAGUAUGGGAGAGGAUGGCGGAAUUCCUGGUGUAGAGGUGAAAUUCGUAGAUAUCAGGAGGAACAACAGUGGCGAAGGCGGCCAUCUGGACCAUUACUGACGCUAAGGCGCGAAAGCGUGGGGAGCAAACAGG